rnacentral:lncRNA from 1 species
UGUAUAUCAAACAAGCUCCUGGCUGAGGCUGAUGCUAAGGGCCCAGGGACCACACAUUGUGUAACAAGGCAUUAGGAGAUCCUGGUUGCAACCGUAAUUUCUUCAGUCCCUAUUAUGAGAUUAAGAAAACACUUUCAAAAGAGACAUUUUGCCACCUGAUCUUCAUCUUGCUGGUUCUGACCAUCCUGCAAGAAACUGCUUUGAAUGGACAGGUGAGCUGGUAUUUAAAGGCAAAGAAUGAUCCCUGAGCUAAGGCUGGAGAGCCUCCAAGAGUCUGCAUUAUGGGGUGUCAGAAUUCUUCUUUCUGGGAGCUAAGAAGAGCAUUGUUUACAGAGAAAAAGUCCAGAGCCCUUGGUCUCAAAGGCAGCUUUACUUCGUAUGGGAGAAAUAUGAGGCUGAGGAAGAGAUGUAUUUUUUUAUUCCAAAGGAUGCAAUUUUUUUUCUCAGCUUAUCAAAGCAUUACAUACCCUUUGGAAAUCAUUUGCAAGAUACAUGAAAUAACAAAAACACUGUUUAACUCAUUCCAGAGCUCAAUGUCUAGCAAUAACCACUAUUUAUCACUGUUAUGUAUUUACAGUGAGUUUUUAAGCUAGAUGAAGACACAAACUGGUAGAUAAAACAAUGGAGAUUACACUGCACUUUUAGAUUUAUGUGCUGUGAUUGGUUUAACAAUUCUGUCAGAAGCAUCACCCUGGGUUAUUAAGGAUUCUCUGUAUGCAUAAUUUUUGAUGGUGAUAUAAUUUUCCAUUGUUUGUCUCUAUCAUAAUUUCCGUAACUAUUCCCAUAUUGCUGUUCCUUCAAGUUUUUUUCUAAGUUUUCACUGUUAUGAUUAAUGUUGAAAUAAAUCUCAGUUUACAUUUUUUGUUAUUGCCUUACAAUAAAUCGCUAGGAGUGAACUUAGUGGAACAAUGGUCUUAGACAUUUUUAGGAUGUUUGUUCCAUACUGUCAAGUUUAUUUCCAGAAAUACUGUUUUCUAGAAAGGAUUUUUUUUUUUUCUCUCCAAGAAGUGUCCCUGGAUCCAGAGACUGAGCCCAUUCUGAGAGCCUUCCUCCUCAGGGAAGCUAGCACUGUGUCUCAGCUAUUUGCUUUGCAAUUGUUUUCCUAGUCUUUCCUCCCUCUCAUUAUCAGAAAAGUGGCAGUGGAGGACCAAUUUGGUUCUUAAUGCACUCUUACUAAUUGCACCGUAUGUUACACAUUUGGGUCACGGUAGUUUUGAAUUCUUUUUGUGUGUCUUUGGUAAAGAAAAUGAAAAUGAGCCAACAGAGAAGUGGAUCAUGCUGUGGGAAGCCCACUACCCAUGCCUCCCCCUGCACCGUCCAUCCCUGUAGGCCACCAGGACAUGUCCAUAAGAGGACUGGGAAAAAGACCCACUCAAUAUUGCCUUUCUGGUCCAUUUUGAUAGUCUGACAGCUUAAUUGCAGUUAAGCUUAACUGAAAUUCAAUUGCCUGUACUUUAAUUGUGGGUGCUUCCAUAUCCCAAGGUUCUCUCUUGUUGUUGUUCAAAGUCGCACAUCUUUACAUGUGAAUACCAUGGCCUAUCCAAGAUGUGGUGGCCUGUAUCACCUGGCAGCCUCCCGUAUCAUCCUGGUGUUGCCAUUCUGGUGCAGAGUCUUGUCUGUAUUGAGCAUGAGUCAGGGCAUAUCACUGAGGACCCCAGGGAGCCCAGGGUCUGCAAUGAAGGAGAAAGCAUGUAGGAGACUUGGGUACAGUGAUACAGAUGCCAACUCUGAGGUGAGCAAGGAGGAGGCAUGGGGAAGAUGAACCGCAAAUCCCGAGGACAGACUCCAAGUGGUGGGAGGAAGAUCCUGAAGCACAAAUCUGAUAAUCCCUCAGUUUGAUCUCAGCCUGGCUUCAGACACAGCCAAGAUCCUAGACUAAGCCUGGAUCUUGGUCACAACCUGGACUCACCUCCAGGCUCAUUGAGCCCUGACACAAGCCCAUGCCAACUUAGAUUCUGGCCAUUGGAGUAAAACACUACCUGGCAACCAUUUGAGCCUGAACCCCAACUGAGAAUAAUCCAAUUUUUCCAUUCAAGGAAUAUUUAUUGAGUAUCUACAGCACGCCUAAUUCUGGGUCAGUUUCUGACUUUGAAGCCUCACCACCUCUUUUCAACAUUAGUGUGAAAUUUAAUGAGAAAAUACAUGUGCCCAGUUAGUUCUGAAGCCAUCCUCAUAAAAUUAGUAAAAUCAAUUGCCAGGUGUUUUGACAAAAGUAGACGCCUGGAAUACAAUUACAGCUCAACGUAACGGUUAACCAGCACACCCUUUGGCCCACUUGCUUAUAGUCACUUACUUCCCGUAAGUCACAGACCAGGUCACAAAGCACUAACUUUCCUUAGUUGCUCCUAUAGAUAACAUCUUUAUCAUUGAGAAAUGUCAAGUUUUCCAUUUAAGUUAUUUUUCAGAACUCAUAUUCCAGUGAAAGUACCAAUGUUAGCUAACCUGAAGGUCCCCACCAAGGAGCUCACUCAACUGAAGAAUGCAGUUGUUGCUACAUCCUGAUGAUUUCACCCCCUAACCCUGACCAAAUGGUGAUCACAAUCUUCCAGCCCCUUUCUCUCCACAAUUCCCUUUAAAACCCUAGCCCAAAACCCCUCAGGGAGGCAGAUUUGAGGUUCUUCCUGUCUCUUCAUUUGGCUGCCCAAUGGAUUAUGAAACUCUUUCUCUGCUGUAACUCCUGCUGUUUCAGUGUAUUGGUCUGUUACUGCACACUGAGCAAAUGAGACUGGUGGUCAUGUAACAUCUCCAUUGCUCAGCAGUCACCAUUAUGUACCCUCACCACAGCCUGAGCCCUCCUAACCCCAGUCAUGGCUAGGGGGACAGUAGUCUUUUCAGAGUGUGGAGAGAGGUUCUGUAGGACUUCCUAGCAGUCCUGGUAAAGACUUGUUUCCACAGGCCUUGCACACAUUGUUCUCUGGGUCUCAUAGCUGACACAUCCUGCUGAGUCACCCCCACUAGCUUUGGUUUCUGGCCCAUCCCCCUCUUUCUUUGCUUUUAUCUCAGAGGAAGCACUCCGGACUUCUGGAGAAAACCUUUCCUUCUUCAGCUUCCCUCCACUCACAAAGCUACUUCCUCUAAACUCAGAUGUUCUAAGUGUAGAAAGGAUGGCCCCUCUGGGGUUAGGAAGAGGAUAUUUGCUUGCCUCUUCCAUAGGCAAUUAUAUUUUCCUUUGACACUGGACAGAGCUCUGUAUCCCUGACCUGUGGCAGAAUGUGGUUGGAGGUUGUCACCUAUUAGUGACUCUAAGUGACUAUUCCUGAUUCACUCGGCCAGUGGUGUUAGGCUCCUAGUGGCACAGGAGGGCAUGAUGUCAUGGGCCUGGCUUCCUCUUCAAGAGGAAAUAUGUGGGCAUUCUGAACAUUUCUGUUCUGUAUGUCUGCCAAUCUGGCACCCUCCUACCAGACACCAACCUUCAGAGUGCAUGAGCAUUGCCUGUAAUUCAAAAGUGAUUCUGGAUUCUGAAUAAGCGCUCAGUCAUCAGAUCUCACUGUGAGUGCAUCUGCAUCUCUCUCAGAGAUACAAGGGUUGGCAGACAUGGAUAUACUCGUUUUUACUUUGCAGAGAACUGGACCAGCAGAACCCACCAGGAUAGGGCUCUUUUUAUGUUACUGUUAGGGUGCACAAAACAAUUUCCCAAAAUAUAGUGCUUGGGUAUGCUGAUUGCUUUUGAGAAUUGAAAGGACUCAGAAAUAAACCUCAGAACUAUGGUCUCUCUCUGAUCUUUUCCACACCUCCCUGUCUCUCUCACCCUUUUCUCUGAAGCACUUGGGAGGGAGUGUCUCUGGAAUUUCCUUAUAUGAUUAACAAAACUUCUUUCCAAAAGUAAUGCAAUUGUCUUAAGACUUCCUCCCUAAGAAUCUCAUCAAAUAACCAGGGAAGAUCAACCACCUGAGAAGAGAAGAGACUGUAAGUCGUCACCACACCCAGACAUCAUCUGCUUUUCUGAGAGCAGCUCCAAGUGAUAACCUGGAGGACUUUAUCUGCAAAAUAAAACAACCUUUGUCCCUGUACAGUGCCACCUCUCCCAUUCUAGUAGUGUCUGACUCCCUCUGCCUGGGUCCAUUCAUUCUUUCUAAUGAUUGACUGCUCCUCAAAAGAAUUGUCUACAUUUUCCAUCUGUUCCCUCUUGUGUGAAGAAGGAUGCAUAAGCUCUUAUACUACACUGGCUUUUUUGGGUGAUUACCCUGUGAUUCCCCCCUGUACAUGUUAAUAAAUUUAUAUGCCUUUUCUCUUAUU